GUGCCAGCCGCCGCGGUAAGACGAGGGGUCCAAGCGUUGUUCGGAAUUAUUGGGCGUAAAGCGGGUGUAGGCGGCUCUAUAAGUCAGGAGUGAAAGCCCCGAGCUUAACUUGGGAAGUGCUUUUGAUACUGCAGAGCUUGAAUGUGGGAGAGGGUAGUGGAAUUCCAGGUGUAGUGGUGAAAUACGUAGAUAUCUGGAGGAACACCGGUGGCGAAGGCGGCUACCUGGCCCAACAUUGACGCUGAGACCCGAAAGCAUGGGGAUCAAACAGGAUUAGAAACCCUAGUAGUCC
rnacentral:rRNA from 1 species